ACUUGUGCUCUCCCGAUGGCGAUCUGGCUGCGACAUCCGUCACCCCAUUGAUGGCCAGGGUUGAUUCGGCUGAUCUGGCUGGCUAGGCGGGUGUCCCCUUCCUCCCUCACCGCUCCAUGUGC